rnacentral:lncRNA from 1 species
GUUUAAUAAUCGCCAGGGUAUCUAUGGCCGGGCUCAGGCGGCUGCUGGGGAGCCAGGAGACCGCGCGGGACGGCGGAUGAGGCGCGGCGGCUGCGGCCCAGGGCACCUCCCCUCUGGCUUCCCGAACCCGGCCAGGUCCGACCCGAGGGGGAGGAUGGAAACACCUGCCGCGCUCUGAGCCCCCCAGAAGAGAACACCCUUCCCGCCAUAUCACCCCACGGUCCUGCGGAGGCCACCGCCUGGUCCCCCCAAGUCUCCAUCGCGCAGCGUGGGGCCGAGAGGAAUAGUGAGCGAUGGCGGAAAACCUGAAAAGACUGGUCUCAAACGAAACUUUACGAACGUUGCAGGAAAAGCUAGACUUCUGGCUGAAGGAGUACAACGCUUAAAUCUCUUCAAGCUCAGGAGGAUGCCCGCCACAGAAACACAGAUCAGAGGAGCUCAGAGAAUAGGCGGUCAGAGCCUUGGAGCUUGGAGGAGCGGAAGCGUGAGCAGUGGAACUCACUCAAGCAGAAUGCAGACCAGCAGGACACAGAAGCCAUGUCCGAUUAUAAGAAACAGCUCCGAAACCUGAAGGAGGAGAUAGCUGUUCUGUCUGCUGAGAAAAGUGCACUCCAAGGAAG